rfam:Populus trichocarpa scaffold_19_contig_306, whole genome shotgun sequence.
UCUAGAACUCGAGAUAUGGGCUGAACACUGAACAGUGUCUGGUUUGUAGGACAGAUUCUGACUUCUCUUUUGUUACUACAAUUUGAACUUGAAAACGACCGUUUUGAAUCUUGGACUCUUCAUGAAGGUUUUAGGCCUAUGUCUUAGCUUUCCAUC